GUACUGAUGAAGAGUCCCAAACUAAGACGAAACUGCUGUCCAGUAC
rnacentral:hammerhead_ribozyme from 1 species